UACGUAGGGGGCAAGCGUUGUCCGGAAUCAUUGGGCGUAAAGAGCGCGUAGGCGGUCCGGUAAGUCCGCUCUGAAAGUCCGGGGCUCAACCCCGGGAGGCGGGCGGAUACUGUCGGGCUAGAGUCCGGAAGAGGCGAGUGGAAUUCCUGGUGUAGCGGUGAAAUGCGCAGAUAUCAGGAGGAACACCGGUGGCGAAGGCGGUUCUCUGGGCCUUACCUGACGCUGAGGAGCGAAAGCGUGGGGAGCGAACAGG
rnacentral:rRNA from 1 species